UUGAUAUGGAGAUGAAACGGGGUGUGAGUGUGAUUAACAGCUGCAGAGCUGCACUCAACACAGCCUCUCUGUAAUGUUUAUGCAAAUCUGCAUCUCCUCUUGUAAUAUUAGCAGCGUUCUGAUCUAGAGAGGAAACACUUCUCAUUAGUCUUCCUUCAACACAAACAUGUUUGCUUCAGCUCCACUGCUGCUGCUGGCUCUCGCCCCCUAUGUGUUCUGUGCUACUGAGCUCAUCCAGCCAGACUCACUGCUUAUAAAGCCAGGAGAGACUUUAACCAUCACCUGUAAAGUGUCUGGAGCUUCUAUCACUGAUAGCAGCAGCCACUUUGGAACAGCUUGGAUUCGACAACCUGCAGGAAAAGCUUUAGAAUGGAUCAAUUUAAUUUAUUAUGAUGGAGAUAUUCGUCAGAAAGAUUCACUUAAAGACAAGUUUGUGGUCUCUCGAGACACUUCCAGUAACUCUGUGACCUUACGGGGACAGAACAUGCAGACUGAAGACACAGCUGUGUAUUACUGCGCUCGUGUAACACACAGUGACACAACAAGCUGCAGUGCUGCACAAAAACCUCAUCACAAUUCACUUCUUUAAUUAAAUAAUAACUAC